GCCAUUCUUACUGCCCCAGUCUCACACUGCUCCCUUUGGGUUACCUCUUCUAAGUCCAUCCUACUAGCCUCCUUGUCCUAUCCAUUAAAGAUCCAGCUCUAUAAACUGCACUCGGACUCUUUUUGGAGUUACUCAACGCAGUCCUGCUGGGAACCCCCAAAUACAGGCUGGCUGUGUCCUUUACUUGUUUUCACCAUUUACCUAACAAUGAGAAAGAACUGAAAGUCUGUGGACACUGUGAUUAUGUGACGCCUCAACAUGGAUUACUCCUUCACCAUCUCAGAAUGUGAAUUACUGAUGAGACUACAAGAGUAGUACAGACAGCAUACCCCAUAUAUACCAGCAGUCUGCAAUAAAGUUG
rnacentral:lncRNA from 1 species